GAUGAACGCUGACAGAAUGCUUAACACAUGCAAGUAGAUGGGUAAGUGGUGCUUGCACCAUGGUAACCAUGGCGGACGGGUGAGUAACGCGUAAGGAACUUACCUGCGGGACCGGGAUAACAGCAGGAAACUGCUUACAAGACCGGAUAAGGUCAUUAAGCUGCAUAGCUUAGUGCUGAAAGGAGACGCUUGCGGCGAGCCUUGCGUCCUAUUAGCUAGUUGGAGGGGUAACGGCCCACCAAGGCGAAGAAAGGUACCCGGCGUGAGAGGGUGGACGGCCAGAAGGGGACUGAGAUACGGCGCAUAGACUUACGGGAGGCAGAAGUGAGUAAUAUUGGACAAUGGGGGCAACCCUGAUCCAGCAAUUCUGUGUGCAAGAAGACGGUUUACGGAUUGUAAAGUGCUUUCAUCAGGGAAGAAGGAAGUGACGGUACCUGCAGAAGAAGCGACGGCUAAAUACGUG
rnacentral:rRNA from 1 species